AAACAAAGAACAACCUACAACCCGAUCUCAGGUGGCUCGGUGCAGCAGCCCUGUAAAAACAAAGAACAACCUACAACCCGAUCUCAGGUGGCUCGGUGCAGCCCUGUAAAAACAAAGAACAACCUACAACCCGAUCUCAGGUGGCUCGGUGCAGCAGCCCUGUAAAACAAAGAACAACCUACAACCCGAUCUCAGGUGGCUCGGUGCAGGAGCCCUGUAAAAACAAAGAACAACCUACAACCCGAUCUCAGGUGGCUCGGUGCAGCAGCCCUGUAAAAACAAAGAACAACCUACAACCCGAUCUCAGGUGGCUCGGUGCAGCAGCCCUGUAAAAACAAAGAACAACCUACAACCCGAUCUCAGGUGGCUAGGUGCAGCCCUGUAAAAACAAAGAACAACCUACAACCCGAUCUCAUGUGGCUCGGUGCAGCAGCCCUGUAAAAACAAAGAACAACCUACAACCCGAUCUCAGGUGGCUCGGUGCAGCCCUGUAAAAACAAAGAACAACCUUCAACCCGAUCUCAGGUGGCUCGGUGCAGCAGCCCUGUAAAAACAAAGAACAACCUACAACCCGAUCUCAAGUGGCUCAGUGCAGCAGCCCUGUAAAAACAAAGAACAACCUACAACCCGAUCUCAGGUGGCUCGGUGCAGCCCUGUAAAAACAAAGAACAACCUACAACCCGAUCUCAGGUGGCUCAGUGCAGCAGCCCUGUAAAAACAAAGAACAACCUACAACCCGAUCUCAGGUGGCUCGGUGCAGCCCUGUA